rfam:Wenxinia marina DSM 24838 genomic scaffold scaffold_WENXMA_4, whole genome shotgun sequence.
GACCACGGGGGAUCGCCCCCCGUCAGCGCAGGUGCGCCCACGGGGGCGUUUGCC